AUGUUGACCAGUUCUCUAUGUUGUUACAGUGGGAGGAGAGACCUCAGAUACAGACCCCACACUUCCACUGAGGAGGACAAACAGCAUGGAGUUACCUCAUCCAUCUAUGGGAGGAGAGAGCAGCAGUCCAGACUCCACAGUGUCUCCCAAAUAACAGAACUGGAGAGACAGGUGAAAGAAGAGGAGUACUGGGGGAAGAAAUACAAACACGUUUGUCUGACAUAUCAAAAUGUGGAGUGUUUUCUCAUUGGAAAGAUGUCGCCCAGAUGUCCUUUGGGUGGUGGACCAUUCUUGAAACACACAGGAAUCCCAACAGCGUUGCAGUUCUUUACACAAGCCAGUGCUCCAUGCACCUGUUACCAGACCCCGUUCAAAGACAUUUAUAUAUUUUAUCUUGCCCAUUCACCCUUUGAAUGGCACACAUACACAAUCCAUGUCUCAAUAUACUUCUUUAACCUUCUUCCUCCCCUUCAUCUACACUGAUUGAAGUGGAUUUAACAAGUGACAUCAACAAGGGAUCGUAGCUGAUCACCUGGAUUCACCUGGUCAGUCUGUCAUGGAAAGAUCAAGUGUCCUUAAUGUUUUGUACACACAGUGUAGGUCUACAGUGACUUGAUGAGUAACACAUUAGAUUAUUGUUCUGCUGCUGUUGAGACAACUGUUUUGUGUUAGAGAGGAGACCAGAUAGAGACAACUGUUUGGUGUUAGAGAGGAGACCAGAGAGAGACAACUGUUUNNNNNNNNNNCAAAGACAUUUAUAUAUUUUAUCUUGCCCAUUCACCCUUUGAAUGGCACACAUACACAAUCCAUGUCUCAAUAUACUUCUUUAACCUUCUUCCUCCCCUUCAUCUACACUGAUUGAAGUGGAUUUAACAAGUGACAUCAACAAGGGAUCGUAGCUGAUCACCUGGAUUCACCUGGUCAGUCUGUCAUGGAAAGAUCAAGUGUCCUUAAUGUUUUGUACACACAGUGUAGGUCUACAGUGACUUGAUGAGUAACACAUUAGAUUAUUGUUCUGCUGCUGUUGAGACAACUGUUUUGUGUUAGAGAGGAGACCAGAUAGAGACAACUGUUUGGUGUUAGAGAGGAGACCAGAGAGAGACAACUGUUU
rnacentral:lncRNA from 13 species